UACGUAGGGUGCGAGCGUUGUCCGGAAUUAUUGGGCGUAAAGAGCUCGUAGGCGGUGUGUCACGUCGGCCGUGAAAACCUGGGGCUCAACUCUGGGCGUGCGGUCGAUACGGGCAUCACUUGAGUUCGGCAGGGGAGACUGGAAUUCCUGGUGUAGCGGUGAAAUGCGCAGAUAUCAGGAGGAACACCGGUGGCGAAGGCGGGUCUCUGGGCCGAUACUGACGCUGAGGAGCGAAAGCGUGGGGAGCAAACAGG
rnacentral:rRNA from 1 species